GAUGAACGCUCGCGGCAGGCCUAAUACAUGCAAGUCGGACGGAAAUCCUGAGCUUUCCUCUGAUGAGAGAUGCGCACGGGUGCGUAAGACGUAUGUAAUGUACCUUUAUCAGGGGGAUAGGCUCUCUAAAGGGAUAUUAAGCCCGCAUAAAAUCACAGCACAGCAUUGUGUAAUGAUCAAAUGUUUAUAGGAACAAGAUUAGCAUGCGGAACAUUAGCUAGAUGGCGGGGUAACGGCCCCCCAUGGCGACGAUGUUUAGGGGAUCUGAGAGGAUGGCCCCCCACACUGGUACUGCGACACGGACCAGACUCCUCCGGCAGGCAGCAGUAAGGAAUAUUGGUCAGUGGGCGGCAGCCUGAACCAGCCAUGCCGCGUGCAGGAAGACGGCCCUACGGGUUGUAACCUGCUUUUAUACGGGAAUAAACCCAGAUACGUGUAUCUGGCUGAAUGUACUGUAAGAAUAAGGCUCGGCUAACUCCGUG
rnacentral:rRNA from 1 species